GGGGAAUAUUGCGCAAUGGGGGAAACCCUGACGCAGCGACGCCGUGUGAGGGAAGAAGGCCUUCGGGUCGUAAACCUCUGUCGGGAGGGAAGAACCGCCGGGUUCCGAACAGGGACUCGGCCUGACGGUACCUCCGAAGGAAGCGCCGGCUAACUCCGUGCCAGCAGCCGCGGUAAUACGGAGGGCGCGAGCGUUAAUCGGAAUCACUGGGCGUAAAGCGCGCGUAGGCGGCCAGAUAAGUCGGGCGUGAAAGCCCUCGGCUCAACCGAGGAACUGCGUUCGAUACUGUUUGGCUUGAGUCCUGGAGAGGGUGGCGGAAUUCCGGGUGUAGGAGUGAAAUCCGUAGAUAUCCGGAGGAACACCGGUGGCGAAGGCGGCCACCUGGACAGGUACUGACGCUGAGGUGCGAAAGCGUGGGGAGCAAACAG
rnacentral:rRNA from 1 species